rnacentral:rRNA from 1 species
GAGGUCGGGAGAGGGAUGCGGAAUUCCAGGUGUAGCGGUGAAAUGCGUAGAUAUCUGGAGGAACACCGGUGGCGAAGGCGGCAUCCUGGACCGGUAUUGACGCUGAGGCGCGAAAGCCAGGGGAGCAAACGGGAUUAGAUACCCCGGUAGUCCUGGCCCUAAACGAUGAAUGCUUGGUGUGGCGGGUAUCGAUCCCUGCCGUGCCGAAGCUAACGCAUUAAGCAUUCCGCCUGGGGAGUACGGUCGCAAGGCUGAAACUCAAAUGAAUUGACGG